rnacentral:rRNA from 1 species
UACGAAGGGAGCUAGCGUUGUUCGGAAUCAUUGGGCGUAAAGCGCGUGUAGGCGGUCCGGUAAGUCCGCUGUGAAAGUCGGGGGCUCAACCCUCGGAUGCCGGUGGAUACUGUCGGGCUUGAGUACAGAUGAUGUUGGCGGAAUAUGACAUGUAGCGGUGAAAUGCAUAGAUAUGUCAUAGAACACCGAUUGCGAAGGCAGCUGACAAAACUGUAACUGACGCUGAGGCACGAAAGUGCGGGGAUCAAACAGG